rnacentral:misc_RNA from 1 species
GAUGAAGAACGUAGCGAAAUGCGAUAAGUAAUGUGAAUUGCAGAAUUCAGUGAAUCAUCGAAUCUUUGAACGCAUCUUGCGCUCCUUGGUAUUCCUUGGAGCAUGCCUGUUUGAGUAUCAUGAGCAAAUCUCAAAGUCAAUUCCUUUUGUUAAUUCAAUUGGUUUUGCUUUGGACUUGGAGGUCUUGCAGAUUUCACAGUCUGCUCCUCUUAAAUGCAUUAGCUGGAUCUCAGUAAUUAUGCUUGGUUCCACUCGGCGUGAUAAGUAUCACUCGCUGAGGACACUGUUAAAAAGGUGGCCAGGAAAAUACUGAUUGAACCGCUUCUAACGGUCUAUUAAGUUAGACAAUUGACCCCUUAAGUUUGAUCUCAAAUCAGGUAGGACUACCCGCUGAACUUAAGCAUAUCAAUAAGCGGAGGA